AGAGAGAGCAGUAAAUUUCUUCUCGAUGGAACAAGAGACAAAUGGUUCGCAGAGGCUGUUCCACUGAUUUGAUAGCUCGGAUAGUAAGCUUGGGAUGUAUUGGGAUCUCUCAUAUUACAAGAUGCCAUCGUAUGUCCCUGAGGACUCCAGCUUGGAUGUGCUGAUCUCAGUUUUGUGGAUGCAAUGGUUUACCAUGGAGCUCGAGGUAUGCUUCAUGCAGCAGUUUUCGCUGGCGAUUACGAUCAUGACCGGUUCUUCCGGCCGUUCCACACUGACGCGUGCAUGAUAACAAGUUCUCAGAAUCUGCUUGUAGUCUUGU
rnacentral:lncRNA from 1 species